rnacentral:rRNA from 1 species
AUAUUACUAAGCGGAGGAAAAGAAACUAACCAGGAUUCCCUCAGUAACGGCGAGUGAAGCGGCAAGAGCUCAGAUUUGAAAUCCGGCUUCGGCCCGAGUUGUAAUCUGUAGAGGAAUGUUCGGCGAUGCUGCCGGUCCAAGUCUUCUGGAACGGAGCGUCUUGGAGGGUGAGAACCCCGUUGAGACCGGCGAGCAGAGCCGCGUGAACGUCCUUCGAAGAGUCGAGUUGUUUGGGAAUGCAGCUCAAAACGGGUGGUAAAUUCCAUCUAAAGCUAAAUACUGGCCAGAGACCGAUAGCGCACAAGUA